rnacentral:rRNA from 1 species
GUGCAGCAGGCGAGAAAACUGGCCAAUGCGCGAAAGCGUGAGCCGGCUAAUCUGAGUGGUUCCCCAUCGGGAACCUUUUGCCAAGUGUACGAAGCUUGGCGAAUAAGGAGAGGGCAAGACUGGUGCCAGCCGCCGCGGUAAAACCAGCUCUUCGAAUCGUGGGCAUGAUUAUUUGGCUUAAAGUGUGCGUAGCAGGACAGGAUAAGUCUCCUGUGAAAUGCCAGGCCUUAAGCCUGGCGCGUGCGGGAGAUACUAUCCGUCUUGGGACCGGGAUAGGGUAUGAUGUACACAAUGGGUA